rnacentral:rRNA from 1 species
CCCUUAGAUGUUCUGGGCCGCACGCGCGCUACACUGACGAAUGCAACGAGCUUAUAACCCUGGCCGAAAGGUCUGGGUAAUCUCCAAAUUUCGUCGUGAUGGGGAUAGAUUAUUGCAAUUAUUAAUCUUCAACGAGGAAUGCCUAGUAAGCGCAAGUCAUCAGCUUGCGUUGAUUACGUCCCUGCCCUUUGUACACACCGCCCGUCGCUCCUACCGAUUGAAUGGUCCGGUGAAGCGUUCGGACCGUGGCCUUUGGACGGUUCGCCGUCUGUUGGCUGCGGGAAGUUCGUUAAACCUUAUCAUUUAGAGGAAGGAGAAGUCGUAACA